rnacentral:rRNA from 1 species
AAUAUUGGACAAUGGGCGGAAGCGCGAUCCAGCCAUGCCGCGUGCAGGAAGACGGCCCUAUGGGUUGUAAACUGCUUUUAUACGGGAAGAAUAAGGGAUUCGUGUAUCCUGGUGACGGUACCGUAAGAAUAAGGACUGGCUAACUCCGUGCCAGCAGCCGCGGUAAUACGGAGGGUCCGAGCGUUAUCCGGAAUUAUUGGGUUUAAAGGGUCCGCAGGCGGGCAAUUAAGUCAGAGGUGAAAUGGUGCGGCUCAACCGUAGCACUGCCUUUGAUACUGGUUGUCUUGAGUCGUGGUGGGGUGGCCGGAAUAUGUAGUGUAGCGGUGAAAUGCAUAGAUAUUACAUAGAACACCGAUCGGGAAGGCAGGUCACUAACCAUGUACUGACGCUGAUGGACGAAAGCGUGGGGAGCGAACGGGAUUAGAUACCCCGGUAGUCCACGCCGUA